AACGAACGCUGGCGGCAGGCUUAACACAUGCAAGUCGAACGCAUCGCAAGAUGAGUGGCAGACGGGUGAGUAACGCGUGGGAACAUACCCUUUUCUACGGAAUAGCUCUGGGAAACUGGAAUUAAUACCGUAUACGCCCUACGGGGGUAAGAUUUAUCGGGGAAGGAUUGGCCCGCGUUGGAUUAGCUAGUUGGUGGGGUAAAGGCCUACCAAGGCGACGAUCCAUAGCUGGUCUGAGAGGAUGAGCAGCCACAUUGGGACUGAGACACGGCCCAAACUCCUACGGGAGGCAGCAGUGGGGAAUAUUGGACAAUGGGCGCAAGCCUGAUCCAGCCAUGCCGCGUGAGUGAUGAAGGCCUUAGGGUUGUAAAGCUCUUUCACCGAUGAAGAUAAUGACGGUAGUCGGAGAAGAAGCCCCGGCUAACUUCGUGCCAGCAGCCGCCGUAA
rnacentral:rRNA from 1 species